rnacentral:lncRNA from 1 species
GAAAUUCUUCAAACCCGUACCCAUAACUUUCUGCAGUUAUGGGUAAAGCAAACAGAAUCUCAAACCGAGUUAUAGAGAGGGCGCAGUUAACCUUUAAGUGUAGCACUGUCCAAACACAUUUUCUGCAGAAAUCCUGUUUCGUAUCUUCAACUUUAACAUCACCUACAUAACGCAUUGUAACUCCGAAUCCGAUGAAAUUUGAUAUUCCAACAAGGGUAAAUUCGUUAGCUUUACAGAACUUAAAGAAUUAACGAGUUACAGGGAAGGAGUACUUAUUGUUUUUCUGAAAGUAUAUCCAAAAACGAAAUUCAACACAAUCUCUUUCAAAAGUCACCAAUCAAAACUUCAAGCUUCAAGCAUGAACCCAUGACUCCUUGACUACUAUAUCUCACAUACAAGCUCUCAAUUAAAAAAGGAAGGGAGUACUCAUCAGAUUUUGGUUGAAUAAUUAAAAAGGGAAAUUACAAGGAUUCUGUUAAAGAAAAGGAAAAGGUAAGUUUGUUACCUUGUUUACUUAUGGCUAGAGAAGUUGCUACCUUUCCUUAGUUCCAAGCUUGAAUUGAAGAGAAUGGUUAGAGUGAGAGGGAGUAGGCGUGAGAGGAAGAGGGAGUAUUGGAAUGGUUACUGAGAAAUGAAUUUGAUAGAAAAUGGGUGAUCUUGGAGUGGUUAGGCAAUUAAAUACUCUUCAUGCUCAAAUUACCAACUU